rnacentral:rRNA from 1 species
AACGUAGGUACCGAGCGUUAUCCGGAUUUACUGGGCGUAAAGCGUGUUCAGGCGGCCUGGCAAGUCGGGCAUGAAAUCUCUCGGCUCAACCGAGAGAGGCUGUCCGAUACUGCUGGGCUUGAGGACGGUAGAGGGUGGUGGAAUUCCGCGUGUAGUGGUGAAAUGCGUAGAUAUGCGGAGGAACACCAGUGGCGAAGGCGGCCACCUGGACCGUCCCUGACGCUCGAACACGAAAGCUAGGGUAGCGAACGGG